CCAGACUCCUACGGGAGGCAGCAGUGGGGAAUAUUGGGCAAUGGGCGCAAGCCUGACCCAGCAACGCCGCGUGAAGGAAGAAGGCUUUCGGGUUGUAAACUUCUUUUCUCAGGGACGAAGCAAGUGACGGUACCUGAGGAAUAAGCCACGGCUAACUACGUGCCAGCAGCCGCGGUAAUACGUAGGUGGCAAGCGUUAUCCGGAUUUACUGGGUGUAAAGGGCGUGUAGGCGGGACUGCAAGUCAGAUGUGAAAACCACGGGCUCAACCCGUGGCCUGCAUUGGAAACUGUAGGUCUUGAGUACUGGAGAGGCAGGCGGAAUUCCUAGUGUAGCGGUGAAAUGCGUAGAUAUUAGGAGGAACACCAGUGGCGAAGGCGGUCUGCUGGACAGCAACUGACGCUGAGGCGCGAAAGCGUGGGGAGCAAACAGGAUUAGAUACCCCAGUAC
rnacentral:rRNA from 1 species